UUAAGUUAACAAGGGCGCAUGGUGAAUGCCUUGGCACUAGGAGCCGAUGAAGGACGGGACUAACACCGAUAUGCUUCGGGGAGCUGUACGUAAGCUAUGAUCCGGAGAUUUCCGAAUGGGGCAACCCAGCAGUUUUAAUCAACUGUUACCACUAGAUGAAUUCAUAGUCUAGUUGGAGGUAAACGCUGUGAACUGAAACAUCUCAUUAGCAGCAGGAAUAUAAAGAAAUUUCGAUUCCCUAAGUAGCGGCGAGCGAACGGGGAACAGCCCAAACCAAAGUGCUUGCACUUUGGGGUUGUAGGACUGAACAUUUGAGUUACCAAAGAACUUGAUAGUCGAAGGAUUUGGGAAAAUCCGCCAUAGAUGGUGAUAGCCCAGUAGAUUAAAUCAAAUUCUCUCAGUUCAGGAUCCUGAGUACGGCGGAACACGUGAAAUUCCGUCGGAAUCCGGGAGGACCAUCUCCCAAGGCUAAAUACUACCUAGUGACCGAUAGUGAACCAGUACCGUGAGGGAAAGGUGAAAAGCACCCCGGGAGGGGAGUGAAAUAGUUCCUGAAACCAUGUGCCUACAAUAAGUCAGAGCGCGUUAAUGCGUGAUGGCGUGCCUUUUGUAGAAUGAACCGGCGAGUUAUGAUCCCGUGCAAGGUUAAGACUAAAAAGUCGGAGCCGUAGCGAAAGCGAGUCUGAAAUGGGCGUUUUGAGUACGAGGUUAUAGACCCGAAACCAGGUGACCUAUCCAUGUCCAGGUUGAAGGUGCGGUAAAACGCACUGGAGGACCGAACCCGUGUAAGUUGAAAAUUGCUGGGAUGAGGUGUGGAUAGCGGUGAAAUUCCAAACGAACUUGGAGAUAGCUGGUUCUCUCCGAAAUAGCUUUAGGGCUAGCCUCGGAAUUAGGAUCAUGGAGGUAGAGCACUAUUUGGACUAGGGGCCCAUCUUGGGUUACUGAAUUCAGAUAAACUCCGAAUGCCAUUGAUUCAUAUCCGGGAGUCAGACGAUGAGUGAUAAGAUCCACCGUCGAAAGGGGAACAGCCCAGACCAUCAGUUAAGGUCCCUAAAUGUAUGCUAAGUGGAAAAGGAUGUGGAGUUGCAUAGACAACUAGGAUGUUGGCUCAGAAGCAGCCACCAUUUAAAGAGUGCGUAAUAGCUCACUAGUCGAGUGAUCCUGCGCCGAAAAUGUACCGGGGCUAAGCAUACUACCGAAACCAUGGAUGCGACCAUUAGGUCGCGUGAUAGGAGAGCGUUCUAAGGGCGGUGAAGCAAGAUCGUGAGGACUUGUGGAGCGCUUAGAAGUGAGAAUGCCGGUAUGAGUAGCGAAAGAUAGGUGAGAAUCCUAUCCACCGAAUGACUAAGGUUUCCUGGGGAAGGCUCGUCCUCCCAGGGUUAGUCGGGACCUAAGUCGAGGCCGAGAGGCGUAGACGAUGGAUAACAGGUUGAGAUUCCUGUACUAGUUAAGUGCGUUUGAGCAAUGGAGGGACGCAGGAGGCUAAGAUGUGCAUUCUGUUGGAUUAGAAUGUCCAAGCAGUAAGUCUUGUGAAGAGUCAAAUGCUUUUCACUUUAAGGACAAGCUGUGAUGGGGAGCGAAAUUUAGUAGCGAAGCGUCUGAUGUCACACUGCCGAGAAAAGCUUCUAGUGAGUACUUAACUACCCGUACCGCAAACCGACACAGGUAGUCGAGGAGAGAAUCCUAAGGUGAGCGAGUGAACUCUCGUUAAGGAACUCGGCAAAAUGACCCCGUAACUUCGGGAGAAGGGGUGCUGAUCGCAAGAUCAGCCGCAGUGAAUAGGCCCAGGCGACUGUUUAUCAAAAACACAGGUCUCUGCAAAAUCGUAAGAUGACGUAUAGGGGCUGACGCCUGCCCGGUGCUGGAAGGUUAAAAGGAUGGGUUAGCUUCGGCGAAGCUCAGAAUUGAAGCCCCAGUAAACGGCGGCCGUAACUAUAACGGUCCUAAGGUAGCGAAAUUCCUUGUCGGGUAAGUUCCGACCCGCACGAAAGGCGUAACGAUCUGGGCACUGUCUCAACGAGAGACUCGGUGAAAUUAUAUUGUCCGUGAAGAUGCGGACUACCCGCGACAGGACGGAAAGACCCCAUGGAGCUUUACUGUAGCUUGAUAUUGAGUGUUUGUACAGCUUGUACAGGAUAGGUAGGAGCCAUAGAAACCGGAACGCUAGUUUCGGUGGAGGCGUUGGUGGGAUACUACCCUCGCUGUAUGACCACUCUAACCCGCACCACUAAUCGUGGUGGGAGACAGUGUCAGGUGGGCAGUUUGACUGGGGCGGUCGCCUCCUAAAAAGUAACGGAGGCGCCCAAAGGUUCCCUCAGAAUGGUUGGAAAUCAUUCGCAGAGUGUAAAGGCACAAGGGAGCUUGACUGCGAGACAGACAGGUCGAGCAGGGACGAAAGUCGGGCUUAGUGAUCCGGUGGUACCGUAUGGAAGGGCCAUCGCUCAACGGAUAAAAGCUACCCUGGGGAUAACAGGCUUAUCUCCCCCAAGAGUCCACAUCGACGGGGAGGUUUGGCACCUCGAUGUCGGCUCAUCGCAUCCUGGGGCUGUAGUCGGUCCCAAGGGUUGGGCUGUUCGCCCAUUAAAGCGGUACGCGAGCUGGGUUCAGAACGUCGUGAGACAGUUCGGUCCCUAUCCGUCGCGGGCGUAGGAAAUUUGAGAGGACCUGUCCUUAGUACGAGAGGACCGGGAUGGACAUACCUCUGGUGUACCAGUUGUGCCGCCAGGCGCAUCGCUGGGUAGCUACGUAUGGAUGUGAUAAACGCUGAAAGCAUCUAAGUGUGAAACACACCUCGAGAUGAGAUUUCCCAUUCCUUUAUGGAAGUAAGACCCCUGAAAGAUGAUCAGGUAGAUAGGUUAGAAGUGGCAGUGCGGUGACGCAUGAAGCGGACUAAUACUAAUCGGUCGAGGACUUAACCAA
rnacentral:rRNA from 2 species